AACAUGUUUUACAUUUAGAAUGUAUCAAGCAAGUUCCACUGGUUAGAUUUUGGUAUUGAAAGAAACACACUUUAUUAGAGAGGGAGCUUGUCAGGGCUUGGUGCCAAUCGGCUGCAACUAGUUAUGUUGCAAACACGUCCAACACCCUCAUUCGGAGAAGUGCAAGAGGGAACAUGUUUCAUAUUUUUCUCUUUCCUGCUCUGUUCUCCUACAAAUUCAUGAGAGAGUGCAGCCUUUGGAACACUCAAGAAUCUUUUUGGAGGUUGGAGUAGAAAAGUGAGAGGUGUUUCAGAGGUCCAGAAAAUAUUUCUGCUUACAUAAACAUCUGGAGCAUGGAGCCGUAACCAAAAUCUGUAGCAGGAAGUGAUGGAAAGCACUUCAAUAUUUUAUCUCUCAAUAAAAAAGCAUACAGACAGUCUACACACCCCCAUUUCUACAGUGCAUGUGCACUGACAAGCUCCUUUUGUUUGUUCGAGAUAUGUUUGGCAUGGAGCACAUGCAGGGUGAAAUAAAUAAAUAGCAUGAAAAAUACUGUUACUAUAUUUGUAUUUAUCAUUAGCAAGACAACUAGAGCCUUUAUUCUCUGCUGAUUACAGUUAAUAUGAAAGGAUAGAAAUUACAACAAAUAAAAAAUUUCUCAAAUAUUA